UACGAAGGGGGCGAGCGUUAUCCGGAGUUACUGGGCGUAAAGGGCGUGUAGGUGGUAUCGUAAGUCUGGCGUGAAAUUUCUCGGCUUAACCGAGGCAGGUCGUCGGAUACUGCGAGGCUAGAGGACGGUAGAGGCGUGUGGAAUUCCGGGUGUAGUGGUGAAAUGCGUAGAGAUCCGGAGGAACACCAGUGGCGAAGGCGACACGCUGGGCCGUACCUGACACUGAUGCGCGACAGCAUGGGGAGCAAACAGG
rnacentral:rRNA from 1 species